UACGAAGGGGGCUAGCGUUGUUCGGAAUCACUGGGCGUAAAGCGCACGUAGGCGGUUUUGUAAGUCAGGGGUGAAAUCCCGGGGCUCAACCUCGGAACUGCCUCUGAUACUGCAAGUCUCGAGUCCGGAAGAGGUGAGUGGAAUUCCUAGUGUAGAGGUGAAAUUCGUAGAUAUUAGGAAGAACACCAGUGGCGAAGGCGGCUCACUGGUCCGGUACUGACGCUGAGGUGCGAAAGCGUGGGGAGCAAACAGG
rnacentral:rRNA from 1 species